rnacentral:rRNA from 1 species
UACGAAGGGUGGCAAGCGUUAUCCGGAUUUAUUGGGUUUAAAGGGUGCGUAGGCGGGUUGGUAAGUCAGCGGUGAAAGCCUGUAGCUCAACUACAGAACUGCCGUUGAUACUACCGAUCUUGAGUAUGGUUGAUGUUGCUGGAAUGUGCAGUGUAGCGGUGAAAUGCUUAGAUAUUGCACAGAACACCAAUUGCGAAGGCAGGUAACAAAGCCACAACUGACGCUGAGGCACGAAAGUGUGGGGGAUCAAACAGGG